rnacentral:rRNA from 1 species
AUGGAACGCUGGCGGCAGGCUUAACACAUGCAAGUCGAGCGGGGAAGAGUAGCUUGCUACUUAACCUAGCGGCGGACGGGUGAGUAAUGCUUAGGAAUCUGCCUAUUAGUGGGGGACAACAUCUCGAAAGGGAUGCUAAUACCGCAUACGUCCUACGGGAGAAAGCAGGGGACCUUCGGGCCUUGCGCUAAUAGAUGAGCCUAAGUCGGAUUAGCUAGUUGGUGGGGUAAAGGCCUACCAAGGCGACGAUCUGUAGCGGGUCUGAGAGGAUGAUCCGCCACACUGGGACUGAGACACGGCCCAGACUCCUACGGGAGGCAGCAGUGGGGAAUAUUGGACAAUGGGGGGAACCCUGAUCCAGCCAUGCCGCGUGUGUGAAGAAGGCCUUUUGGUUGUAAAGCACUUUAAGCGAGGAGGAGGCUACCGAGAUUAAUACUCUUGGAUAGUGGACGUUACUCGCAGAAUAAGCACCGGCUAACUCUGUGCCAGCCGCCGCAGUAACAC